rnacentral:rRNA from 1 species
AGCAGCCGCGGUAAUUCCAGCUCCAAUAGCGUAUAUUAAAGUUGUUGCAGUUAAAAAGCUCGUAGUUGAAUUUCGGGAUUGACACAUCGGUCGUGCCUUAAGGGGUAUGAACUGGUGUAGUCAAUUUCUCACCUUCUGGAGAACCACGAUGCCCUUAAUUGGGUGUCGCGGGGAACCAGGACCUUUACUUUGAAAAAUUAGAGUGUUUAAAGCAGGCAUUUUGCUUGAAUACAUUAGCAUGGAAUAAUAAAAUAGGACGGCAUGAUUCUAUUUUGUUGGUUUCUAGGAUCACCGUAAUGAUUAAUAGGGAUAGUUGGGGGCAUUAGUAUUCAAUUGUCAGAGGUGAAAUUCUUGGAUUUAUUGAAGACUAACUACUGCGAAAGCAUUUGCCAAGGAUGUUUUCAUUAAUCAAGAACGAAAGUUAGGGGAUCGAAGACGAUCAGAUACCGUCGUAGUCUUAACC